UGUCAAAAACUUCAGAAAGAGAAAACCAAGGCCAGACGUUUAUGUGUUUUGGUUGGCUAAAGGACUGGAUCUGACGUGGGGAGGUAGGGCAGGAGCCCUUUGUAGACCUACUGAAGAAACUGUGGAGGAAGAUCUUGGUAUGAAGAAGAGGGAUAAUUUUUAAUGACUGUGUGAGUUAGGAAGAACAAAUGCUAUUCAGUCAUUUCAGUCCUGUCUGACUCUUCAUGACCCCAUUUGGUGUUUUCUUGGCAAAGAUCCUGGAGUGGUUUGCCAUUUCCUUCUCCAGAUUAUUUAACAGAUGUGGAAACUGAGGCAAACAGGGUUAAAUGACUUGCCUAGGGUCAUGUAACUAGUAAGUAUCUGAGGCCAGAUUUGAACUCAGAUCUUCCUGACUCCAGGACAAGCAGAAGAACAAAUGACUGGAGGUAAAAUCAUCUAAUAUUUGAGUGCUAGGGGGCUGGGUUCUAAUCUUACCCUUACCCUACACAUGGCUCAGGGUCUCAAAGGGGUUUGUGGGAACACCUUCUGGGCAUCAUUUCUCACUCUUUCCAUCUGCCUUGAAGGAGGGUGCUGCCGUAACAUUCUAGCAGCCUUCCUUCCAAGCGGGAACAUCUCUGAAAGCUGAGAAAUGAGGGAAACCCUUUGAUUCAGACACUUCCCCUCUCUCUACCUCAGUUUCCUAUUUUGCCGUAAAGGUCUCCUCCAGCUCUAACCUUUUAAGAUUCAUGACGUUGCAGAUUUUCCAGAAUGAGGGAGGCUGUAGGGGCAGACAGAGCCGUUGCUAACUGGGAGAACUGCUCAUCUGUAGCUUGUUACCCUGGGGAAUAAGAAGCAGAAGCCAAAUUGGAGAAAACAAUAUUCUGUUUCAAGGCAAAUAACUUUGGUAAUAAACAACAUGGGGGAAGAAGGAGAUAAAUCCCUGAUGCUGUUUCUAAAUGUGGCCGGUGUCCUCACUGUGCAGGAAGCCAUGGUAGGGGGGAAGAGGGGUGGGUCUCUGGCCACGGCAUGGACUAGAACGUGGCUUUAUGAAACCAUCUUGGGAAUAAUCCCUAGAACCCGGGCCGAGAGACAAUUUAGAAAAUGUCCAGUUUGUUCCCUGUGUUUUACAAAAGAAGAAACUGAGGCUGAGGGAAGGGAACAUAGCCAAGGAGCCAGGACCUGAUUGUUUCCUGAUGUGAAAUAAAGUAAUUUUCUUUGUUUUGUUUUGUUUUUGUUUUUGUUUUUUUUUGCUUUAACAGCAUCAAAGAAAAGCUCAUGACCCAAGCAGACAGGUUCAGUGAAGAAGAGAUCAAGCAGAUGUUUACAGCUUUCCCUCCAGAUGUGCGCGGCAAUCUCGACUAUAAGAACCUGUGCUAUGUCAUCACCCACGGGGAAGAGAAAGACUAGGGGAGGGGGAACCCCCCAGGGUCUCCUCUGGAAGCACUUAGUGGCAAAGGUGAAAG